rnacentral:rRNA from 1 species
UAGGGAAUCUUCCGCAAUGGGCGAAAGCCUGACGGAGCAACGCCGCGUGAGUGAAGAAGGAUUUCGGUUCGUAAAGCUCUGUUGUUAGGGAAGAAUGGAUAUGUAGUAACUAUACAUAUGAGAGACGGUACCUAACCAGAAAGCCACGGCUAACUACGUGCCAGCAGCCGCGGUAAUACGUAGGUGGCAAGCGUUGUCCGGAAUUAUUGGGCGUAAAGCGCGCGCAGGUGGUUUAAUAAGUCUGAUGUGAAAGCCCACGGCUCAACCGUGGAGGGUCAUUGGAAACUGUUAAACUUGAGUGCAGGAGAGAAAAGUGGAAUUCCUAGUGUAGCGGUGAAAUGCGUAGAGAUUAGGAGGAACACCAGUGGCGAAGGCGGCUUUUUGGCCUGUAACUGACACUGAGGCGCGAAAGCGUGGGGAGCAAACAGGAUUAGAUACCCUGGUAGUCCACGCCGUAAACGAUGAGUGCUAAGUGUUGGUCUCAUAAGAGAUCAGUGCUGCAGCUAACGCAUUAAGCACUCCGCCUGGGGAGUACGACCGCAAGGUUG